UGCAGAACAACAAAAUCUGAUACUCUCGAAACAUUACUAUCCCCAGUAAAAUAUGUGUUAGGCUGCAGAACAAGUAAAUCUGAGGACUUGGAAACAUUACUGCCCCUAGUACAGUUUAUUACUGAGUGCAGAACAACAAAAACUGAGGUUCUGGAAACAUUACUGCCCCUAGUAAAGUAUGUGUUAGGGUGCAGAACAACAAAAACUGAGGUUCUGGAAACUUUACUACCCCCAAUAAAGUAUGUCUUAGGCUGCAGAACAAGUAAAUCUGAGGACUUGGAAACAUUACUACCCCCAGUAAAGUUUAUUACUGGGUGCAGAACAACAUUACUACCCCCUUAGU
rnacentral:lncRNA from 1 species